GUUGUAAAGCUCUUUUGUCAGGGAAGAAACGGUGGUCGCUAAUAUCGGCUGCUAAUGACGGUACCUGAAGAAUAAGCACCGGCUAACUACGUGCCAGCAGCCGCGGUAAUACGUAGGGUGCAAGCGUUAAUCGGAAUUACUGGGCGUAAAGCGUGCGCAGGCGGUUAUAUAAGUCAGAUGUGAAAUCCCCGGGCUCAACCUGGGAACUGCAUUUGAGACUGUAUAGCUAGAGUGUGUCAGAGGGGGGUAGAAUUCCACGUGUAGCAGUGAAAUGCGUAGAGAUGUGGAGGAAUACCGAUGGCGAAGGCAGCCCCCUGGGAUAACACUGACGCUCAUGCACGAAAGCGUGGGGAGCAAACAGGAUUAGAUACCCUGGUAGUCCACGCCCUAAACGAUGUCUACUAGUUGUCGGGUCUUAAUUGACUUGGUAACGC
rnacentral:rRNA from 1 species